AUUGAACGCUGGCGGCAUGCCUUACACAUGCAAGUCGAACGGCAGCACGGGUGCUUGCACCUGGUGGCGAGUGGCGAACGGGUGAGUAAUACAUCGGAACGUACCUUAUCGUGGGGGAUAACGCAGCGAAAGCUGUGCUAAUACCGCAUACGCCCUGAGGGGGAAAGCGGGGGAUCGAAAGACCUCGCGCGAUUAGAGCGGCCGAUGCCUGAUUAGGCUUGUUGGUGGGGUAAAAGCCCACCAAGGCGACGAUCAGUAGCUGGUCUGAGAGGACGAUCAGCCACACUGGGACUGAGACACGGCCCAGAUUCCUACGGGAGGCAGCAGUGGGGAAUUUUGGACAAUGGGGGCAACCCUGAGCCAGCAAUGCCGCGUGAGUGAAGAAGGCCUUCGGGUUGUAAAGCUCUUUUGUCAGGGAAGAAACACCGGCUCUAACACAGUCCGGGAAUGACGGUACCUGAAGAAUAAGCACCGGCUAACUACGUGCCAGCCGCCGCGGUAA
rnacentral:rRNA from 1 species